rnacentral:rRNA from 1 species
UACGUAGGUGGCAAGCGUUGUCCGGAUUUACUGGGCGUAAAGAGCGCGCAGGCGGUCGUUCAAGUCGCGUGUGAAAGCCCCCGGCUCAACUGGGGAGGGUCACGCGAUACUGAUCGACUCGAAGGCAGGAGAGGGAAGUGGAAUUCCCGGUGUAGUGGUGAAAUUCGUAGAUAUUCGGAAGAACACCAGUGGCGAAGGCGACUUACUGGACACAUAUUGACGCUGAGGUGCGAAAGCGUGGGGAGCAAACAGG